CCCUACUGCUAUCGGGGCGGGACUAAGACAUGCAAGUCGUGCGUCUCUAAGCCAUGGUAGAGACGCGGCGUACGGCUCAGUAACACGUGGCUAACCUACCCUUAGGACGGAGACAACCCCGGGAAACUGGGGCUAAUACCCGAUAGGUGAGGAGGCCUGGAAUGGUUCUUCGCUGAAAAGGCGUUGAAACCAUGCUUUUCAGCGUCGCCUAAGGAUGGGGCCGCGUCCGAUCAGGUUGUUGGUGGGGUAACGGCUCACCAAGCCUAUAACCGGUACGGGCCGUGAGAGCGGGAGCCCGGAGAUGGGCACUGAGACAAGGGCCCAGGCCCUACGGGGCGCAGCAGUCGCGAAAACUCCGCAAUGCGCGAAAGCGUGACGGGGCUACCCCGAGUGCCGUCCGCUGAGGAUGGCUUUUCCCCGGUGUAAUGAGCCGGGGGAAUAAGGAGAGGGCAAGUCUGGUGUCAGCCGCCGCGGUAAUACCAGCUCUCCGAGUGGUAGGGACGAUUAUUGGGCUUAAAGCGUCCGUAGCCGGCUUAGCAAGUCUUCUGUUAAAUUCAGCGACCUAAUCGUUGAGCCGCGGGAGAUACUACUAGGCUAGGAGGCGGGAGAGGCCGACGGUAUUCUCGGGGUAGGGGUGAAAUCCUAUAAUCCCGGGAGGACCACCAGUGGCGAAGGCUGUCGGCUAGAACGCGCUCGACGGUGAGGGACGAAAGCUGGGGGAGCGAACCGGAUUAGAUACCCGGGUAGUCCCAGCUGUAAACGAUGCGGGCUAGGUGUUGGGGUGGCUACGAGCCACUUCAGUGCCGCAGGGAAGCCAUUAAGCCCGCCGCCUGGGGAGUACGGCCGCAAGGCUGAAACUUAAAGGAAUUGGCGGGGGAGCACCACAAGGCGUGAAGCUUGCGGUUC
rnacentral:rRNA from 1 species